CUCAAUUGUUGGUCCUGGAUACUCUCUGCCUCCCUGAGGUGUGUGUUUUUUUUCAUCUCGGCGCUGUUCGAUUCCCUGGCCUCCGCUCUCCACCGCUCACCUGCCUUCCUGGAUCUAACCGUUCUCCUGCGACAACCUCCACCCCUGCAUCAGCCUGACUUGCCUCUCCCUCCAGCUCGUACCCUGCUCAACUCAUCGGAGUCGUCCCGUUUUCCUGUCCCUUUGGAUCUGUGCUCUUAUUUAUUAUUCUUUGGUUUCUUUGUGUUUCUUAAUAAUAAAGACCUUUAUAUCAUCGCUCACCUUAUC